CGUGUAGGCGGUCGGUCAAGUCUGAUGUGAAAGCCCGGGGCUCAGCUCCGGAAGUGCAUUGGAAACUAGCCGACUGGAGCGCGAUAGAGGAGGGUGGAAUUCCUGGUGUAGCGGUGAAAUGCGUAGAUAUCAGGAGGAACACCGGCGGCGAAGGCGGCCCUCUGGAUCGUUGCUGACGCUGAGACGCGACAGCGUGGGGAGCAAACAGGAUUAGAUACCCUGGUAGUCCACGCCGUAAACUAUGGGUACUAGGUGUUCGGGGCGUUGACCCCCUGAGUGCCGCAGCUAACGCAUUAAGUACCCGCCCUGGGACGUACGCCGCAAGGUUAAA
rnacentral:rRNA from 1 species